CUGUUCCACGCAGCCUAGAUUUAAUUGUUCCUGCCGGCGGGUCGUUCUUCCCGGUUUGAGUACCCUGUCGCUUAGGCGGCCUACCACGCGGCCGUUUAAGAGCGCAAUCUCUGUUUGACUGAAGAGCCUCCUUAACACGCUGAGCUUUAAUAGCUGCCUCUAACUGCUAGGGCUGAGCAUCGGUUCAAAACCGAACCGAACCGAACCAAUUUCACAAAACCGAAACCGAACCGACAUAGGUAGUACACGGACCGAACCGAACCGCCUGGAGCCCGAAAACCGACCAUAACCGAACCGGUCGAAACCGAUCGGUUUCGGUCGGUUACCAAACCGACCGAUUUGCCCAAUUUUUUGAAAAACAGCCUGUAAUAUUCGAAAAAAAAUAUAAAAAUCUGCCCAAAUCAAACCCCAAUCUAUGCAUUCAUUCGAUUUACCAACCACCAAAAUUCGAAAAAAAAAACUGACCAAAACAAACUUCAAAUUUUAAUCGAAAAAACAACAAAAAUUCGAUUUACCUUUCGGACGAGGGGAGAAAGGUGACGGGUGGAGGUCUGCGUGACUGCGUCAGGCUUCAGCGGCGGAGGAGAAGCCGAUCUGGAGUCCUGGACGGCGGGUCUGGGCCGUCUGGCUCGUGCUGGAGACGUCAGACGCAGCGGGGGGCGGCCGGCGGUCUGCUCGUGCUGGUCUGCUCGUGCUACCGUGCGCGAAGAAUGGAGGCGACGCGGGCAGGUGGUGGUCGCCGGUCCUAAAACCGAAACCGAACCGAUACAUGAUCGGUUUUUUACUCUUAAAACCGAACCGAAAACCGAACCAGAAAUUCCAAAACCGAACCGAACCAAAAAUGGUCGGUUCGGUCGGUUUUUUCGGUUCGGUCGGUUCGAUGCUCAGCCCUAGAUGUUUGGGUGCAAUAUGUAUUUACUACUGUCGAGUCACUGUCCAGGAAAAGGUCGUUCAGAGUUGUCUGACCUCUCAAUCCCUCUUCCUAUAUAAAAUCCUCCUAUCUAGGCUAGGCCCCUUCUACUCUAGGAAGCAAUUCAGCCUACUUGAUUCAAUUCGUGUUUAUCAAUUAUCUACUGAAUUUCCCUGGCCCACUAUAAUUUUUAUUUAUUACAUUAUAAAUAUAUAGCACCACGAUACNAUAACUCAAUUCUGACAGAAACAACAGGAUGAACGAACACCCAAAUAUUCGAACACAUAUCAACUCUGGAGUUCUGAUGACAAGGAACCACAUUCAAAGAACGCCAAAAGAAGCAGGGCAAUUAUGAAAAGCCAUUUUAGGUUCCAGAAUACCGACCACCAACGGCGAAAAAGAGGCACAAUGCUCUUUCAGAAGAAGUUUGGUUUCAUCCGUGAGCCCACGGACGUUCCAGACAAGCAAGUUCAUAAAAACUAAUGAGUGUUAGUGGAUUGGGACUCCCCCCUCUCCACUUUAUCUGCCCAACUGUUAGCCGUAAAGUCAACAACGUUGCUCAUAACUUUGCCGCUCUUCGACGUCCGCUGUUCAAUCACAUAACCCAUUGGGUUAUGCCCCAACUCUUUCGCCUCUUGCAUACGUUUGUUAAUCAAAUCCUCAGAUUGUUGAUUACGUUCCACCUCCUCUGUUCCACGCAGCCUAGAUUUAAUUGUUCCUGCCGGCGGGUCCGUGUUCCCGGAUUGAGUACCCUGUCGCUUAGGCGGCCUACCACGCGGCCGUUUAAGAGCGCUGUCUCUGUUUGACUGAAGAACCUCCUUAACACGCUGAGCUUUAAUAGCUGCCUCCAACUGCGCUGUUUUUUUAGCCAAAUCCAACCUAAUCUCAUCAACAGUAGGCUCCAUUGGACAAACCUCUGAAUCCACCCUAGACUCGGGACCCUCGAAAACAUGGACAUCAUUCUCCAAAUUUUCAGCAAAGUUUUCCUCAUCCACUUCCUCACAACUGGUAGAACCCGUCUCC
rnacentral:lncRNA from 1 species